rnacentral:lncRNA from 1 species
UAGAAAAGGACCAAGAUCUCUAAGAGAGAGGUUGGUAAAAUAAACAAACCUCUGUACCCUUCACGAGGCACGUGUAUUUGGACGGUUAAAAGUGGGUGGAAGAUGAUCCUUAGCACGAACUGAUCAGCAAAGUCAUUUCCCCGCGGACAGCCCACAGAACGUGCAGUUGUACCAAAAAGCCAACUGGUCUAUUUCUCAUAAGGUUUUCACCCAAGGAGCCAAGAAGUUUUCAGAAUCCAUAGCCACAGACAAGAACACAGACUGAACUGGUGUGCAAACCCAGACAACUCAACCCUGGGACGCAGACAAGCACGACAGUUUCUCGUAGUGUUUGCUCGCCUGCCUCAGAAGGGAAUUUCAGGACUUUGGCAAAAUACAAAAGAUGCCUGGGAGGCUGGCUGAACCUGACCUGACCUGACGGUGGAAUCCCACGUGCGCGUGAGAAGUGGCUUCCAUCUGGUCACUAGGUAGGCCUUGGCCGGUCUGCUGCCCACGCUACUGCCCCACCCAGCCACGCUGACCUCUCACCCCCUGCUGUGACUG